rnacentral:rRNA from 1 species
AUACGGAGGAUGCAAGCGUUAUCCGGAUUUAUUGGGUUUAAAGGGUGCGUAGGCGGUUUGCUAAGCGGGAGGUGAAAUGCCGGCGCUCAACGUCCGAAGUGCCUCCCGAACUGGUGGACUUGAAUGACUCUGCCGUGGGAGGAAUGUGUAGUGUAGCGGUGAAAUGCUUAGAGAUUACACAGAACACCGAUUGCGAAGGCAUCUCACGAAGGGUUGAUUGACGCUGAGGCACGAAGGCGUGGGGAUCAAACAGGAUUAGAUACCCUGGUAGUCCACGCAGUAAACGAUGAUGGCUAACCGCUGGGCUUAUCAGUUCAGUGGCCAAGCGAAAGCGAUAAGCCAUCCACCUGGGGAGUACGACCGCAAGGUUGAAACUCAAAUGAAUUGGCGGGG